rnacentral:tRNA from 1 species
GGAGAGGUGUCCGAGCACGGCUUAAGGUACACGCCUGGAACGCGUGUGUGGCAUAAUAUCCACCGAGGGUUCGAAUCCCUCCCUCUCCG